rnacentral:rRNA from 1 species
AAGUCGUAACAAGGUUUCCGUAGGUGAACCUGCGGAAGGAUCAUUAUCGAAUAAACUUGAACAGGCUGUUGCUGGUCCCAGGACAAUGUGCACGCUUGUCAUCUUUAUCAUUUCUCCCAACUGUGCACAUAUUGUAGACCCUGGAUUUUGUUCCGAGUGGGGACUGCUGUGCUUCAAAAGAAGUCGGCUUUCCCCUUGAAGGUCUAUGUUUGUUUUUCACAACCUCUCGAAUGUGUUUAGAAUGUUGAAAUAAAGAAAAGUUAAUAAAAUACAACUUUCAGCAACGGAUCUCUUGGCUCUCGCAUCGAUGAAGAACGCAGCGAAAUGCGAUAAGUAAUGUGAAUUGCAGAAUUCAGUGAAUCAUCGAAUCUUUGAACGCAUCUUGCGCUCCUUGGUAUUCCGAGGAGCAUGCCUGUUUGAGUGUCAUUUAAACUCUCAAACCACAUCAUUCGUUUGACGUGGCUUUGGAUGUGGGGGUUGCCGGCUUUCUUCUCAGAGAGCCCUGCUCCCCUGAAAUGCAUUAGUGGUAUCUGGAGUGGAAAACCGCUAGGUGUGAUAAUACUGUCUAUGCCUUUGGUUAUGCCACAAUGUGCUGCUUCUAAACCGCACAUUUUUGUGCUUUUGACAAACUGACCUCAAUCANNNNAGUACUGCGAGUGAGCGGGAAGAGCUCAAAUUUGAAAUCUGGCGGUCGUUGGCCGUCCGAGUNGUAAUCUAGAGAAGUGCUACCUGUGCUGGACCGUGUACAAGUCUCCUGGAAUGGAGCAUCGCAGAGGGUGAGAAUCCCGUCUUUGACACGGACUGCCUGUACGUCAUGGUGCGCUCUCGAAGAGUCGAGUUGUUUGGGAAUGCAGCUCAAAAUGGGUGGUAAAUGCCAUCUAAAGCUAAAUAUUGGCGAGAGACCGAUAGCGAACAAGUACCGUGAGGGAAAGAUGAAAAGAACUUUGGAAAGAGAGUUAAACAGUACGUGAAAUUGCUGAAAGGGAAACGCUUGAAGUCAGUCGCGUCGGCCAGAAAUCAGCCUUUGCUUUUGCUUGGUGUACUUUCUUGGUUGAUGGGUCAGCAUCAAUUUCGACCGUCGGAUAAAGUCGUCGGGAAUGUGGCAUCUUCGGAUGUGUUAUAGCCCGGCGUCGCAUACGGUGGUUGGGAUUGAGGAACUCAGCACGCCGAAAGGCCGGGUCUCUCGAGACCACGUCCGUGCUUAGGAUGCUGGCAUAAUGGCUUUAAUCGACCCGUCUUGAAACACGGACC